CCUCGGGAGGCUGCAGUGAGGAAUAUUGCACAAUGGGGGGAACCCUGAUGCAGCAACGCCGCGUGGAGGAUGACGCAUUUCGGUGUGUAAACUCCUUUUAUAUGUCAAGAAAAUGACGGUAGCAUAUGAAUAAGCACCGGCUAACUCCGUGCCAGCAGCCGCGGUAAUACGGAGGGUGCAAGCGUUACUCGGAAUCACUGGGCGUAAAGGACGCGUAGGCGGGUUGGAAAGUCAGGUGUGAAAUCCUACAGCUUAACUGUAGAACUGCACUUGAAACUUCUAAUCUAGAGUAUGGGAGGGGGAGAUGGAAUUAGUGGUGUAGGGGUAAAAUCCGUAGAUAUCACUAGGAAUACCUAAAGCGAAGGCGAUCUCCUGGAACAUUACUGACGCUAAGGCGUGAAAGCGUGGGGAGCAAACAGGAUUAGAUACCCCCGUGUC
rnacentral:rRNA from 1 species